UGUCUUCCUGUCCUGUCGCAAAUAUGAAUUGAAGAUUAUUGCAAAUACUCAGUUUCCUCCCUUACCCCACUCAAUAGACAGUUCUCCAGUAAAUUCAAGUUUUUGUCCCUUCGACCGAGGGAGCAGUUAUGAUGAUUACAGCUGAAUGAUUCAUGAAGAACUGGAGUUGUUCUGCACUUUGGAAGGAUACGACAAAGUGGAACUAGACUGUG